rnacentral:pre_miRNA from 1 species
AUAUGCCUGGCUCCCUGUAUGCCAUUUCCAAAGUUUCAUCAGGAAAUCUGAUGGUCUUGGUAGAUGGCGUAUGAGGAGCCAAGCAUAU